UAAGCAUAUCAAUAAGCGGAGGAAAAGAAACUAACAAGGAUUCCCCUAGUAACUGCGAGUGAAGCGGGAAAAGCUCAAAUUUAAAAUCUGUCAGUCUUUGGCUGUCCGAGUUGUAAUCUAGAGAAGUGUUAUCCGCGCUGGACCGUGUACAAGUCUCCUGGAAUGGAGCGUCAUAGAGGGUGAGAAUCCCGUCUUUGACACGGACUGCCAGGGCUUUGUGAUGCGCUCUCAAAGAGUCGAGUUGUUUGGGAAUGCAGCUCAAAAUGGGUGGUAAAUUCCAUCUAAAGCUAAAUAUUGGCGAGAGACCGAUAGCGAACAAGUACCGUGAGGGAAAGAUGAAAAGAACUUUGGAAAGAGAGUUAAACAGUACGUGAAAUUGCUGAAAGGGAAACGCUUGAAGUCAGUCGCGUUGUCCAGGGAUCAACCUUGCUUUUGCUUGGUGUACUUUCUGGUUGACGGGUCAGCAUCAAUUUUGACCAUUGGAAAAAUAUCAGGGGAAUGUGGCAUCUUCGGAUGUGUUAUAGCCCUUGGUUGUAUACAAUGGUUGGGAUUGAGGAACUCAGCACGCCGCAAGGCCGGGUUUUUAACCACGUACGUGCUUAGGAUGCUGGCAAAAUGGCUUUAAUCGACCCGUCUUGAAACACGGACCAAGGAGUCUAACAUACCUGCGAGUGUUUGGGUGGAAAACCCGAGCGCGUAAUGAAAGUGAAAGUUGAGAUCCCUGUCAUGGGGAGCAUCGACGCCCGGACCAGACCUUUUGUGACGGUUCCGCGGUAGAGCAUGUAUGUUGGGACCCGAAAGAUGGUGAUCUAUGCCUGAMUAGGGUGAAGCCAGAGGAAACUCUGGUGGAGGCUCGUAGCGAUUCUGACGUGCAAAUCGAUCGUCAAAUUUGGGUAUAGGGGCGAAAGACUAAUCGAACCAUCUAGUAAGCUGGUUCCUGCCGA
rnacentral:rRNA from 1 species